UGUGUGUCUGUAAAUACAGCGGCUCUGGCGAGUCACAGACACAUGGGUGGUGAGCAGAGAGGGGGGCUGGCUGCGGCCGGAGAAGGCCCUGCCUUGCCCCAGUGAUCGCUGCUGCAGCGAGGGUUAGUGUUUGCAGGACACACACAGGAAGGGGCUGGAGCAGCUGGGAGGAGCGAGGAGGAACUGGGGAGAACAAAGGACCGAGACCAGGUAUUGUUACAAGCCGCUGCUCCCAGCAGGAGCAGCUGUUGAUUCCCCAGCUGGGGAGAGACCAGCAUUCAAGCUUCUUGUGUCUCCAGCUGAAGUGGGGGGAAGUUUCUCCAGCUGGAGCCAGCCCAUAGGGCAACCCUGGGCUCUGCAGACCCCAAGCCUGAGCCGGAGACUCCAGGGAGAAUCUACUUCUUGGCCUUUCCCAUCUAAUAACUGGACGAUUGCUUGAUUAGCCUUAUCCACAUCAUUUGUAAUUUAGAUAAGCUGCAUGUGUUUCAACGAUCACAGGAUCUUCUCCUUCCCAGAGGCUA